rnacentral:tRNA from 1 species
UCGGCGUACGGCCCGUGGAGGGGCGGGUCCCGCUGCUGCUGGGGCUGCGUUCGGAGGGCGAGCGCACCGCGGUCGCGGACCGGGUGGCGGC